rnacentral:tRNA from 1 species
AAUUAAAUAAAUUUUAAAAAAAUUUAUUUGUUUGAAAUAUUUUGAUAACAAAUUAUUUAUUAAUUAUA